GCCAAACACUCCAGCUUUCUCCAGAAAGCUCUAUGUACUUAAUUUUUCCAGCACACACAAACAGGUUUCAGCCAACACACAAAUCACAUGACUGUGACGAUUCUAGGAUAGGCCCAAAGAUUUGUGUGACACGUCACUGUGACUUAGUGAUCUCUCCUGUGUACUCUGUAUGUGUCAUACAACAUGCCUGAGUAGGAGAGGAGGGGCAGAUAAAAGCAAACAAUGAAUAUGAUAUAUUUGUAUAUGGAUACAAAGUGUUU